rnacentral:rRNA from 1 species
CCUCCGCUCGCCGCUCGCUCGCUCAGCCAAAAAUGGCCAGUUUAGGCCCGUUUUUGGCCAGUUUUGGCCAGUUUUUGGGCAGUUCUUGCGUGCAGCGGCGAUCGACGUGAGCGGAGCAAAACGUCAGCCAUCUCAGCACCCUGGAACCCCCCGGGUGGCACAGGGCUGGAUGGGGCGUUCGUAUAGCAAGGAUGGUGCUGCCUCUCGCUUCACUCACUCGCUUAGCCAAAAAUGGCUAGUUUUGCCAGUUUUUGGGCAAUUCUUGCGUGCCGCGGCGAACGACGUGAGCGGAGCAAAACGUCAGCCAUCUCAGCACCCUGGAACCCCCCGGGUGGCACAGGGUUGGAUGGGGCGUUCGUUUAGUCGUGACGGUGCUGCCUCUCACUUCGCUAGCUGUCUGCCGCUCGCCGCUCGCUCGCUCAGCCAAAAAUGGCCAGUUUUGGCCUUCGGGAUCGGUGUAAUGAUUAAGAGGGACAGUCGGAGGCAUUCGUGUUUCAUAGUCAGAGGUGAAAUUCUUGGAUUUAUGAAAGACGAACCACUGCGAAAGCAUUUGCCAAGGAUGUUUUCAUUAAUCAAGAACGAAAGUUGGGGGCUCGAAGAUGAUCAAAUACCGUCCUAGUCUCAACCAUAAACGAUGCCGACCAGGGAUCGGCGGAUGUUGCUCUUAGGACUUCGCCGGCACCUUAUGAGAAAUCAAAGUCUUUGGGUUCCGGGGGGAGUUUGGUCGCAAUGCUUCAACUUAAAGGAAUUGAUGGAAGGGCACCACCAGGAGUGGAGCCUGCGGCUUAAUUUGACUCAACACGUGGAAACUUACCAGGUCCAGACAUACAAGGAUUGACAUACUGAGAGCUCUUUCUUGAUUCUAUGGGUGGUGGUGCAUGGCCGUUCUUAGUUGGUGGAGCGAUUUGUCUGGUUAAUUCUGAUAACGAACGAGACCUCAGCCUGCUAACUAGCUACGCGGAGGCAUCCCUCCGCGGCCAGCUUCUUAGAGGGACUAUGGCCGUUUAGGCCACGGAAGUUUGAGGCAAUAACAGGUCUGUGAUGCCCUUAGAUGUUACGGGCUGCACGCGGCGCUACGCGAUGUAUUCAACGAAGUCUAUAGCCUUGGCCGGCAACGGGCGGGUAAUCUUUGAAAAUUUCAUCGUGAUGGGGAUAGAUCAUUGCAAUUGUUGGUCUUCAACGAGGAAUUCCUAGUAAGCGCGAGUCAUCAGCUCGCGUUGACUACGUCCCUGCCCUUUGUACACACCGCCCGUUGCUCCUACCGAUUGAAUGGUCCGGUGAAGUGUUCGGAUCAAGGCGACGGGGGCGGUUCGCCGCCCGCGACGUCGCGAGAAGUCCACUGAACCUUAUCAUUUAGAGGAAGGAGAAGUCGUAACAAGGUUUCCGUAGGUGAACCUGCGGAAGG